GAUGAACGCUGGCGGCGUGCCUAAUACAUGCGAGUCGAGCGAACGGACGAGAAGCUUGCUCCUCUGAUGUUAGCGGCGGACGGGUGAGUAACACGUGGAUAACCUACCUAUAAGACUGGGAUAACUUCGGGAAACCGUAGCUAAUACCGGAUAAUAUUUUGAACCGCAUGGUUCAAAAGUGAAAGACGGUCUUGCUGUCACUUAUAGAUGGAUCCGCGCUGCAUUAGCUAGUUGGUAAGGUAACGGCUUACCAAGGCAACGAUGCAUAGCCGACCUGAGAGGGUGAUCGGCCACACGGGAACUGAGGCACGGUCCAGACUCCUACGGGAGGCAGCAGUAGGGAAUCUUCCGCAAUGGGCGAAAGCCUGACGGAGCAACGCCGCGUGAGUGAUGAAGGUCUUCGGAUCGUAAAACUCUGUUAUUAGGGAAGAACAUAUGUGUAAGUAACUGUGCACAUCUUGACGGUACCUAAUCAGAAAGCCACGGCUAACUACGUG
rnacentral:rRNA from 1 species